rnacentral:rRNA from 1 species
GACGAACGCUGGCGGCGUGCUUAACACAUGCAAGUCGAACGAUGAUGCCCAGCUUGCUGGGUGGAUUAGUGGCGAACGGGUGAGUAACACGUGGGUGAUCUGCCCUGCACUUCGGGAUAAGCCUGGGAAACUGGGUCUAAUACCGGAUAUGACCAAGGACUGCAUGGUUUUUGGUGGAAAGGUUUACUGGUGCAGGAUGAGCCCGCGGCCUAUCAGCUUGUUGGCGGGGUAAUGGCCUACCAAGGCGACGACGGGUAGCCGGCCUGAGAGGGCGACCAGCCACACUGGGACUGAGACACGGCCCAGACUCCUACGGGAGGCAGCAGUGGGGAAUAUUGCACAAUGGGCGAAAGCCUGAUGCAGCGACGCCGCGUGAGGGAUGACGGCCUUCGGGUUGUAAACCUCUUUCAGCAGGGACGAAGCGAAAGUGACUGUACCUGCAGAAGAAGCACCGGCUAACUACGUGCCAGCCGCCGCAGUAAAAC